rnacentral:rRNA from 1 species
AUGACUCUCGACAACGGAUAUCCCGGCUCUCGCAUCGAUGAAGAACGUAGCGAAAUGCGAUACUUGGUGUGAAUUGCAGAAUCCCGUGAACCAUCGAGUCUUUGAACGCAAGUUGCGCCCGAAGCCACUAGGAUGAGGGCACGUCUGCCUGGGUGUCACGC